UGUGGGAGCGAGCCUGCUCGCGAAAGCGCUGUGUCAGUCGAUAUUUAAGUUAACUGACACUCCGCCUUCGCGAGCAGGCUCGCUCCCACA
rnacentral:antisense_RNA from 1 species